GCCCCCCGCGCCCGGAGGGGGCGGGGCCGGGCGGGCACCUUCUUCCUGCGCCCACCCCCACCCUCAGGAAUGCCACAUGGCCUCCGAAGAGGAGCGGUGGGAACCUCGGCUCGGGAGAAUCCGCUCGGGGGCAGGAAGUGGCCCGUUGCUCCUCUCCGAGAGCGUUUCCGGAGCGCCUACUGUGUGCCCCGCGCCGGCGGCGGGGGCCGUUCCAGAGGGGAGAUGUCCCGCAGAAACUGACGUUUGUGGGGCCGCUCCCCGCGCCCCAUCUCCCGCCGGCGGUGCGACGGUUCCCUUCGCACCAAGAGGAAACUGAGGCCCGGUCAGCCCGGGGAUUCGCCCGAGCUGCUGAGGACCGGGCUCUGACGGCGACGACUCCUCUGCCCUCAACGGCCGCUAGAGUCGGGCAGAAGGCUGCUCGGACAGAAGCCCGAAGCCCGCACUCCUGCGUGUAGAACACAGGAGGCGGCCUGAGCACUGUUCAUUCCGGUGGAAGACUGCAGACAACUAUAUGCUCCCUCACCAGGAGCUGACUUCUUACAGGAACUCUGGGACCUCCGUACAGCAAGCAGGAUGCUGUAAUGGGGAGCCCCACUUCUGGACAUGCAGGGCAGGAUGGCAUGCUUCUGGGGGCAGCGUCAACUGCACAGAGCGAGCGGCAUGCUGGACGAGAGCCGAGCGUGGACCCCGCGCACUGAUGAACGUGAGCCCCCAGCUCAAAGACGACACACGGAGAAGGGAGCCAAGCAGCACUGACCGAUGUGGGCAGCGUUAGUGCCGACCAGGAAUUUGUCCCUGGACUUCCCCUCCGCACUGCUCCAUGCUCACCUUCCUCUUCUCGGGGGUUUCCACCAGCUGCCAGCUGUUGGCCUUGAGGUGGUAGAGUUCAUCAAACUUCAUGCUGAUGUCCUCAAUGGACAGCUGUAGCAGGUCCCAGAACCCUGCCAGGUCCUGGGCUGUCGGACGUGGGUUGGCUUCAGGGUUCUGCAGGGGCAUACGGGGAUCAGUGGGGCGUGCGAAGUGGAGGUUGGUCCUGGGCCCCACCCCCAAGUAUGGGCUUGUGGCCCUGCCAGCCCCAGCUGGGGUCUCUGCAGGCCGAGUCUCCCUCCCCCAUUGCCAGGACCAGUCUCUGUAGGAGGGAAUGAAGCCAGGUCCUGGUCACUGCCAGCCCUGAUGGUGUAGAGCUCUGGGAGAGACACAGUCCCAUCCUGAGAACACAGGACCGACCACUGUAGGGCCAUGAGGAAGAAGGCCUUCACGUUCCUAAUGUAUGCCGGGUGGAAAGCUGUUCUCAUUUUACAAAAGUUCCUGGCCAUGGUCUCCCAGUGAGGCGGGGAGAAGCCAGGAUCACUGCCAGGUGGUUAUGAUUACAGAAUCCACAAGGUUUCUGCCCGCCCCCGUCUGUUCUCUGACAACACAGUGCUCAUGGUGACUGCCUCGGCUAAGGGCCAAACCCUUGCAGGGCCUGGAGACAAACACUCGCCCUCAUCCUCCAGGAGCACACUGUCCCUGGCCAGCCAGAGAAGGGGAGGCUUCCACAGGAACAGCUGCUCUCCUAAGAGGUGAGGCUGAAAGAGCAGGAAACCGGCAAGCCCAGGGGUGGUGAGUCUUCGUUCUCACCUGUGUUCUUGGAGCAUAUUUAAUAUAAAUCAAUCAGUGCUGAUUUUUAAGUUUCACGUGGCUCCUUUCAUAUAGGCUUCACUUUUCUAUCUGAAGACGUACCAGAGAUUUGGAAGGACCAUUCCUGGCCCUUGUGCUAGGCAUGGGCACGCGUCACCAGCACCUUCUCCGUGUUAGGGAGGAGGGCACAGCCAGCUGGGCAUCUGGCAGAUAGCAAAAGGCUGGAAGCCCCUUAGUGGAGGAAGAAGAAUCACUCACCAGGUUUUGCUCACAGAGGCCCCGGAACUGCUGGAAUUUCUGGGACAUGAGUAGCUGGGCACUGCCCACAGCACUGAGGACUUUUCCUAAGACUGAGAAAGAGAAGGUGAAGAGAGAUUGAGCAGAGCAUAGGGUUUGCUGCGGUAGAAGGCAGGAUCAGGGCCAGGACUUUUAUCAUCCCCACCCAGCACCUCAGGUGACUUUGGCGAGCAGCAUCUGGCCUUCAUUUUAUGUAUACCUUAAUCUGCUCUCAUGAAAAAUGCAAACAAUAUAAAGUUGAGCCCCAUCCCCUAUUUCCUAAGGAUAUUUUAUGGCAAUAGAUUUCAAAAUUGAGUUUAAAUGAAAAAAAUUUCCAGGAAAACAUGAAUUAUCAUAAAAUCAAGAAGAAACAGAAAAUCUUAUUAGACCAAAGCUGUUUUUAAAAAACUGAAGAGGGCAGCCCUGGUGGCUCAGUGAUUU